GGUAGCGGAAACCUAAGGUGGCCUCUGUCUAUGUCAACCUCUUCUCUGCCCUCGUGUCCUCGGUAAAGCUACGGUGGCGAAUUAGGCACAUGAAAACAGGAUUUCAUGGACAUGGAAUGGGAGAGCCGUAUACAAUUCAAGGCAUGUCAGCCAUGAAAGUAAAUCCUUGUCCGGAUUGCUAGAGACAAGUCUUUCAAUCUUCUGGCGCAAAGACAUCUGAAACAUUAGGGUUUUCUUGAAAGCUCACCACCAAUAAUUGCCACCACCUGCAAGAGAUUCCUGUUGCAUGGCAAAUAUGAUAUGUGCAGCCACUGUGGCCUACAACCCUUUUUCUGUUCUCUUCCACCGAAUCGAAUGUUUCAAGCAGUAACAUCUGACUGCUAUCCAAUAAGCAGUUGGGUGUUGCUGUUUUGCCUCUUCGACUCGGUGGUCUUCUUCUUAGUAGCCAUGGUUAAUGUUCUUGAAAUGAUUACUGAAAUCAUAACAGGACAACUCCUCCAUCCGUAUCAACUAAAUUCGUGAUGCAAGAGCAUUAAUUAUUUGCAUGGUAAACUUGUGCAUGCAGCCUACCCGCUUAAUCACGCUGAGAGAGAUGAGAGAGUUCAAAAGGGAAGAACACAAAAAGGAGGAUUCAACUGUAAUCCGAGCCGAGUUCUUCUGGAUUUUGUGGAACACAACUAUGUUCAGGUGGCAGCUUCUCCAGCUUCUUCUGGAGCUCUGUUUCUUUGUCUCUGAGCUGGGCAUUCUCACGGAGGACCUGAUCGCGCUCUCUCAUGGCACGGUUGAGAUCAUCGAGGAGCCGGCCGUUUGCAGACCGGAGAUGGGCAACCUGCGACCGCAGCUCGCUGAGUUGCUUCAGCUUGCGCAUGCGCGAUCGCCGCGCGGACUCUCUGUUGGAUAUCAUCCUCCUCUUCCUCCGCUCCUCGGCCCAGCACAGUCGCUGCUCUUCCGCCUCGACCACGCUGUUGUUUGGAAGGCCGACUUCAUGCAUCAACGGCGAGCUCUGAGCUUGGUUCGGGGAGCAACAUCCAAAGAGAUCGCUCAGGUGGAAGGAGGGGAUGCCGUUGUUUGGAAGGCCGACUUCAUGCAUCAAAGGCGAGCUCUGAGCUUGGUUCGGGGAGCAACAUCCAAAGAGAUCGCUCAGGUGGAAGGAGGAGGGGAUGCUGUUCUCAGCCAUGUGGUACUGAGACUGGCAAGAAGGCAUACACGAAGGUGAAAGGUAUCUAAUGCUGGCAAUCUCACCUGGAUACAUGGUCACAAAUUUUCCAGAGAAUGGAAGAUCCAAGAAAGAUCUCGGUCACAGUGGGAUGUUCUACUGAAGGGGAAGGAAGCAUGGAAGGUAUUGAUGUGAAUUUAUAGAGUGCCAAGACUCGGCAGUACCACUUUGUCCGGUUCAAGCAGCAUCUCAUCCUGCUGGAUGGAUGCCGAGCAAUGCAUGCAUGCAUGCAUCCAUCCAUUACAAUUCCUCCAUCGCUCUCAGACGAUGGCGUGCAGAUGACGGAACCCUCGACACCAAAAACCUUGUUGCCCCCAUUAAAGUAGAAGCUGGUUCAUUAGCAGUGACAAGCAUUUGCUUUGAAAUGAAAGAGGGCCAGGAUGUUGGUGCCACUAUAAUGCGGGCAUAGCUUUGGAUGCAUCUUCAAGAAAAGGAGAAGAGAAAGGGCACGACUGUGGAUGAUGGAUGACAGAAUCAUGGGCUAAAACAUAAAGACAAACUUGGCUUUCAUGCAGUGUCACUGUUGAUCAAGGGGAAUGUUUUGGAGCGAGAGAAGGAAGAGGAUGUAAUUGGUGAGAGGUAUGUUAGAUUAGAUUAUUGUUUAGCAUGGCUUGAUUCAGCUUGUGUCACGCAAUUGAAGUCACUUUCUGUAAAGUGAAGAUAUAGCAUAUCAAUUGCCAUGGGAUCCACUGAAAUGGACCACUUUGGAUGGCGAUUGGAUGGAUAAUUGAGGAGCUGUGGAAUCAAAUUGAUUAGAGCUCAUUCCAGUCCCAGCUAAAAAGAAAAAAGUAUUUGAUCAUAUUAUAUAUCUAUUCAGUUUAUUCUUCAUUCCAGGAUCAUUUUUAAUCUCUCAACCAUGACAUUCUAGAUGGUUUGGACCUGCACUCUGCUGACAUAAUCUGAAAUGCUUUUAUCUUUUCCUUCUAGAUUUGGUACAUGUUUAUUAGUUUUAUAAAAUGUAGACUCCACUUCACCACAUUGAUAUCAACAUUCAUAUCUAGUGCAUUCUUAUUAAAUUGAGUUUGUUGACUUAGGUUUGCUCACAAGUCAUUGUAGCCACUCUGAAUCUGAUGCACAAUCUUUAUGCUUUGGUGGUUGUUCUUGAUAUUUAUGGUGAUGGAUAAGAGUGAAUCCUUUUGGAUUAUAAUAUUUGA